CAUAUACUCCCUCCGUCCUAAAAUUCUUGUCGUAAAUUUAUCUAGAAUUGAAUGUAUCUAAAUAGUAAAACGUGACUAGAUACAUUCUUAUUUAGACAAAUUUAAGACAAGAAUUUUGGGACGGAGGGAGUAUCAA
rfam:Hordeum vulgare subsp. vulgare, WGS project CAJW01000000 data, contig: morex_contig_1450083